AUUUUAUUACUUUGAAGCAUGGUCAUGAUCACAUAAGGGGUUACAGUCUACAUUAAAGACAAACAGAUGGCUAUAUACACCACAGCCUGGCACAUGGCCUCACCAUUAGUGUGUUCAGAAAGUUUGCUGACCCUGUACAAGAUGGCUACAGUCCCAGCCAACAUCCAGGAAGCAGAAUGUGCAGCUGAAGCAAAUCAACCCACAGAAUCCUGAGCAAUAAUCAAAUAGUUUGCUGUCUUAAAUCAUUAAGUUUUGAGAUGGAUUAUUAUGCAGCAACAAUUGAAAGAAAUUAUAAAAUCUGAUAUCUGUAUUUUAUAAACUUGAUGAUUUCAUGGCUUAAA